rnacentral:rRNA from 1 species
GUAGGUGGCAAGCGUUGUCUGGAAUUAUUGGGCGUAAAGCGCGCGCAGGUGGUUCUUUAAGUCUGAUGUGAAAGCCCCCGGCUCAACCGGGGAGGGUCAUUGGAAACUGGGGAACUUGAGUGCAGGAGAGGAAAGUGGAAUUCCACGUGUAGCGGUGAAAUGCGUAGAUAUGUGGAGGAACACCAGUGGCGAAGGCGACUUUCUGGCCUGUAACUGACACUGAGGCGCGAAAGCGUGGGGAGCAAACAGGGAUUAGAUACCCUGGUAGUCCACGCCGUAAACGAUGAGUGCUAAGUGUUGGGGGGGGUUUCCGCCCCCUCAGUGCUGCAGCUAACGCAUUAAGCACUCCGCCUGGGAGUACGGUCGCAAGACUG